GGGAUUGCCCUAGUAACGGCGAGUGAAGCGGCAACAGCUCAAAUUUGAAAUCUGGCGCAAGCCCGAGUUGUAAUUUGUAGAGGAUGCUUCUAGGUAGCGACCGGUCUAAGUUCCUUGGAACAGGACGUCAUAGAGGGUGAGAAUCCCGUAUGUGACCGGCCCGCACCUUCUACGUAGCUCCUUCGACGAGUCGAGUUGUUUGGGAAUGCAGCUCUAAAUGGGAGGUAAAUUUCUUCUAAAGCUAAAUACCGGCCAGAGACCGAUAGCGCACAAGUAGAGUGAUCGAAAGAUGAAAAGCACUUUGGAAAGAGAGUUAAAAAGCACGUGAAAUUGUUGAAAGGGAAGCGCUUACAACCAGACUUCUGGGCGGUGUUCCGCCGGUCUUCUGACCGGUCUACUCGCCGUCCCGAGGCCAACAUCAUCUGGGACCGCUGGAUAAGACCUGAGGAAUGUAGCUCCCCUCGGGGAGUGUUAUAGCCUCUGGUGAUGCAGCGCGUCUCGGGUGAGGUCCGCGCUUCGGCAAGGAUGUUGGCGUAAUGGUUGUCAGCGGCCCGUCUUGAAACACGGACCAAGGAGUCUAACAUCUAUGCGAGUGUUCGGGUGUCAAACCCCUACGCGUAAUGAAAGUGAACGGAGGUGGGAAGGGUAACCUGCACCAUCGACCGAUCCUGAUGUCCUCGGAUGGAUUUGAGUAAGAGCAUAGCUGUUGGGACCCGAAAGAUGGUGAACUAUGCCUGAAUAGGGUGAAGCCAGAGGAAACUCUGGUGGAGGCUCGCAGCGGUUCUGACGUGCAAAUCGAUCGUCAAAUUUGGGUAUA
rnacentral:rRNA from 1 species